rnacentral:lncRNA from 1 species
AAAAAAAAUGGAGCUCAUGUCACGUGAUACGCGAUCAGCCGACCCUUUUCUAGAAACUUCACUUGCCGAUCUUCUCAAUUGCCUCUUCAGACGAGGGUUGUUGACGGUUCCGAGAUCGUCUGCCAUUUUAUGGUUUCUUGUUUCGUUUCUUGGCUUGGAUGAUGGCAGGGAUCGACGCCGACGACGAGCGCCGAUCUCGAGGUAUCCAACCCUCACUGGGCUUCUUGCUUUCGCAUCGAAGCGAUUGCCUUGGACUCUGACCCUAACUAUCCGUUCUCUUCCCUCUCAGUCUUUGUCGCAUUCUUUUGUCAAGAGUUCUUGAGGAUUUUGAGAUUCGUUCUGUUUAUUUGUUUUCUUUGGUCGGAUCAUUCUCAUGGUAUUAACCCUUCGUCAUCGAGUUCUUCUUCACGUGAGCGGUUUCUUUGUUUGAUUUGUUGGCUUCGAUGAUCGCAGCGACCGAAGCCAACAUAUUUAGCAGUGCUGAUGUCUCUGCUGCCUGCUUCUUUAUCGAAGCGAUCGCUUGGAAUCCGGCCCUAACUAUACUAAUUCUGCCCGCUAAAUCUUUAUGCCUUGUUUGUCUUGAGUUCUUGAGGCUUUCGAGAUCUGUUAUUGUAUGUUUGUUUGUUUUCUUUGAUCGGAUCCUUCUCAGGGUAUUAACCCUUCACGUAAGUGGUUAAUUUGUUUGAUUUCUUGGCUUGGUUGAUUCUCUCUGCUGCCUGACUCUGGCCCUAGCUCUCCCAUAUCUUCCCUCUCGAUCUUUAUCGCGUUCCUUCUUGAGGGUUUUGAGAUAUGUUCUUGUGUGUUUGUUUAUUUUCUUUGAUCGGGUCAUUUUCAUGGUAUCAACCCUUCGUCACCGCCUACUACUUGACGUAAGCGGUUGUUUGGUAGCCCUUUGUUUUCCAAUCUCUUCUUGAUUCUUAUCUUGCUAGGCCUUUAUAAUGUACAGAGAUUCGUUCGUCCAUGGUUGUGUUUGUUUAUAGGAUUAUGUGCCGUCCGAGGGAUUAUUGCGCGCAAUCUGGUUUUGAAUCUAACAUAUAAUGCUUUCUUCUAUGAAUUUGCGAUGAGCUAAGGACGGUCUUUUCUGUUGAGCCUGUUUGACGUAUAAUAUUUGUAGUUUAUGUUGUUGAGGUAGUAUUUUGAUUAUUGUUUUGUUGUCUUCAUUUUGCCUGUGAGAUCUUUCCAUUUUAAAUAGAUGUUAUAUAAAAUUGAAUAUCUGUGAUAAUCCUUCAAUUAAAUAUACGGAGAUAUAUUUAACGGGCACGUGAUAUUUGUGAAAUUGGGAGGCGUACAUCGGAAUUUGGUGGAUCUUUGACUUCUUCUGUAACCUUCUUGAGUGCGUGUUUUCGUUGAUUCAUUUUUUAAUUUGGUUGAGUGGCCCGUGACGAGUAUUUUUUGUGGGCGAAUCGAGGUUUCUUGUUCUUUUCGUGGGAUCGGAUGAUCUUGUCAUAUCGAAUUUUCUUGCUUGGGUUGAUUAGGGUCCGAUGGUCCCCUUCUCUUUGCCUUUCCAUUUUUUUGGGUAAACGAAGUGUAUAAAUUCCUUAUUGGCUUUACGUUUCCUUGUUCUUGAGUUAGGUUGUUCUCCAAGUUAAGCUUUGAUCUGUAAUAUAGUGAUAAUUCUAUAUGCUCUUUUGCUCUUCCUCGUGCAGGGUUAAUUUAGGGAGGAUCAUAGCCCUGAUCCAUCGCUGAAUUUUUGCUGAAAUCAUGAAAAAUUAAUUACUAAUAAAUGGAACAGCCUAACACGUGACGUUCUCUCACAUCUUCCAAUCGAUGUAAGUUUCUCGUGCUUUAUUGUAUGUUAAUUGUGUGGCAAUCGUUGAGUCCCUGUCAGAAGGAUACAUCCCCCUUUCCCUCGAACGCAAUUGUCAGAAAGAUUAGUGUUGGGCUGUUCCAUGCAUGCAUUUGAAAUUUGGCUUUCAGAUGCAUGCAUUCAAUUCUAACACUCAAAAGAAGAGACUAUGAUUAAUCAUACCGAUUGUAAACCAAAAAAAAGGAAAUACUCUGAUUAUUGCGAAGAAUUUGUAUUUAUUCGAAAUUAUUUUAAGAGGAGAUGUUAGUGUAUUGUUGGAAUAAGCUAACACUAUUCAUAGACAUGGAAUUGAUUCAAGCAUGAGAUUCUAUUUACUGUUUUGGUAUCAGUUUCAAUGAUUGAUUGACCGGUACUAUUUUGUAAUACUGUAGAAGACAAAAAUGCAUCAAUGAAAAAUAUAAAUGUGAAAACUAGCAGGAAAGAAGAACAGUUGGGGCAUUACUGUGAUUUUGUGGGUAAUUAACGAAAAAAGCAAUCUUGUUUUGAUGCUGUCAUAGUUGAUUUAUUGACUAUUUGUUUCAGUAAUCAUCUGAUUUAAUGUGUCAUGGAUGCUUGGGGCAUUACUGUGAUUUUGUGGGUAACAUGCAUGAUGGCCUUCUGUGGAGCUCUUUCUGGUAUUGGCAAGAUUAUUCCCCCAAAAACAACGCUAUAUCGAAUCAAGGUCGGAGUCUCUUAAGAGCUCUUUCUGCCAAAACCCAUUGUGGGGAAUUGGAAAGGCAUACCAGAGAGCAUGAGAAUUGGCAUCUAUCAGUGCCAAAGGCCUUUGGUUUCGGGGGAUUAUUAUGCCAUGUUACUGGAGCUGGUGGUUCUCACUGAUGCUUUUCAGUUAAGAAUAUGAGGGUCCGUGAAAAGGAUAUGCAUGUGAUGCACAUGUGGAGUGGAAUCAUUUGUAAAGCAAGAAAUGACUAAGAGCAAUUCAUAUCUUAUCAAUGUUACUAUGUGAUGCAAAUAGUCGUUGAUUUUUGGCCCACAAAUCAUCUCUUGUGUCGACCAAAAGAAAAAUAACUCAUAUCUUUACGUCACGUAGAGAUGCAUGCAUGCAUUUGAAAUUUGGCUUUCAGAUGCAUACAUUCAAUUCUAACACUCAUUUGGCUUUCAGAUGCAUUCAAUUCUAACACUCAAAAGAAGAGACUAUGAUUAAUCAUACCAAUUGUAAACCAAAAAAAAGGAAAUACUCUGAUUAUUGCGAAGAAUUUGUAUUUAUUCGAAAUUAUUUUAAGAGGAGAUGUUAGUGUAUUGUUGGAAUAAGCUAACACUAAUAAUCUUCAUUAACGAAUCAAAAGGGAAGCUUUCCGUAAGUACGUACUACUACUCAACCAUGCAUGCAUGCAUAAGGCCGAUUGAUACCAUGCAAUAUACUAAUCGUGUGACUUGAGAGAAAAAAAGGGGAGGGAUUAAAUAACAUGGUUUAUGUCUCCUCUCAGAUGGCCUCAUCGACGCCAAUGAUCAAAGUAAUAAUGCAUCUCAAUAUCACGGUCGAUUUCUCCAUUAUUGACUGCACCAACACUCAAACAUUAUGAAUCUUAUCUAUACCUCUCUCUUACAACUCAUGCUUUAUUGUAUAUACACAACUUAAUGUGUCUCAGACCCAAUUUCCCAGUCAAGCUUCUCUAUUUCUCUAAAGAAAGUACUCAUCUCAGAAUCAAUAGGAUGGGGCGGACAAAUCACAAGAUGAAAAGGAGUUCCCAGUCAAGCUUCUCGACUGCACAUUAUUUUGUCAUGAAACCAUGGAAAGGGACAGGAGAAACGUGCAUGUAACAACAUCUGAGAGGAGCACAAAAUAAUCACAUCAAAGUGGAGGGAACGGGCGCCACCCAGCCCGUUGACCCAUGAAACCAAGCUGGUUUUGAAGGCAAUCAUUGAAGAACUGAGUCGAACGAGGAGUAGGAACUCGAUGUUCCUCCCAUCAAAUGUAUGGAAGUGGAACGUCAGUGGUGUGGUUGUUGACUAGAACGAGAAAGAGGAGAAGCUUAAAAGAGAUAGUUAAGAGCGUUUCUUUUAAUUAUGCAUUUAGCUAGAUCCAAACAGAAGAGCGGAUCAGUUCAUGUCUGCUGGGCCUGUCGAUCUCGAUCCGUAAUCAUCGAAUGAAAUGAUCCGACCCGUUUAAUUUGACUGGCGGAAUUAUGGGUCGAGUAUACAGACCCGCUAGCAAGUCGGGUCGGAUCUAAACACAACUUUAAACGUUUUAGGGGGGCCGAGGCAGUGAAUAGGGUUUCUGUGAAAUAUUUAGCUUGUUUGGGGAUCUAAACACAACUUUUAACGAUUAGUUGGUCUUCAUACUUGUGUCAUUAUCCUAAAUUAGGUUUGCUGUGAAAUAUUUAGCUUGUUUGGGGAAACAAUCAAAGAUCAUCAU